UGGAGAUAGGAUUGUUGUGGUUAACCAAUGUGUUACACAGGCUGUUAAGCAGUUCCUGCUCCCAGUGAGGGCUACAUGCUAUUUAGCAUCGUUUUAGUUGCCUGUGGUCUGAGGCGAUGCUUUCUUCUGACAGAACGAAGGACUAUGUGAGUUUGUCACUUCUGCCAGCAGCACUGAGCUCAGGUCUCAGUUACCCCAUGUGCCGGUCUGAGGGGCCACUUGAAGCAGUUUUCUUGCCAGCUCCCCCAGACAUUCUGCAGAAGCUUUUCAUCUUGGGAAUACAGAAAGAAGCCAGUGGGACCACCAGGGCCAUGCAGCCUUCCCCUGGGAGCAGCAAGCACAGGAAGAGGAGCAGAGCUGCACUUAGUCCCUCAACAUAACUGAACCCAGCCUGUGAAUCUUCCUCCAGUUUUGGCAGUUCUCCUCCGAAGUGGAAAGGAAAAUAAGCAGAAUAUAAAAAGAGAAUUGUUUAAUUUUGCAUGUAAGACGUGCUUGCUACCUGCUGUGGUCGGCUGAAGGCUGCUGAGAUACCUAGCAGCCUACCUACACUAGUUGCACUGCAUGGAAGUGCCAGUUCAGCCCUUCAUCCCUCUCAGGAGGGAUGAAACCUGAUGGGGUGGGUUCAAAGUGUGGGUAUGUACUGGGUAUGUCUUGCCGGCCCACUCAGCACCAGCUGCUGUGAUAAGGGACAGAGAUGGGGAGGACCAAGGGACACAAUGGAGAGUUUUCCUCCAGCAUUGCAGGGCCCUCCUGUCACAGCUCUCAUUCAUCUCCACUCAGGAACCUCUGGGGAGGAAGAGGAAGAUGGGCCAGUACUGGCAGUGAUUGCCUUGAAGCAGCAGAGCAGAAGGGCAAACCAGAGAAUAAAGCAUGAAGUGCUGGUGCUCAGCUGGACUUUGUUAAGCACCUUUGCCUCUUCUCAGGAAGAGGAGGAGAUACACAGCAUUACACAGCCUACAAUCUGCAUAGACAAGGAAUGGGAAACAGAUGCCAACCAGAGCAUGGGUACCUUUGUCCUGGAGCACACCAGGUGCUGGGGAGAGCCUUGUACCACACCCUGCGAACACAAGAGUUAG
rnacentral:lncRNA from 1 species